rnacentral:lncRNA from 1 species
CAUCAUGAUACAAUUAAAUACGGUGAUGUUAUCAUUUCUAUUCGUGCCAUUUUUGAUUCCAGAGUCAUCAUCUCGUGCUAAACGUCUAAGCCUCUAAGGUGAAUUGGUAGUAUCCAUACAUUGUAGAAAUUUAUAUGACUAACGAUCAUUGGGGCUUGCUUAUCCUUUUUACCUAGUUUUGAUUCAACAUGGUUUGGCAACUUCCCCGUGCAUAAUUGUAUCUCAAGAUAUUUAUUUAGUGUUACACAAUAUUAAUGGUC